AGUUCUUGCCGAUGAUUGUGACCUUCUCUAUGUUCUCCUUAAUGAAGUCUGGUCCUAAGUGGCGCUGGUUCCCGACUUCACUCUAGGAAGUAGGGGAACGACAUAGCCUUCCAUACAAAGCUUCAUAUGUGGCUAUACUGAUGCUGAAAUGAUAACGGUUAUUAUAAAAAAAUUCACAAAGAGGGAGAUACUCAUACCAGUUAUCACCAAAGUCGAGAACGCAAGCACACAACAUGUCUUCCAAU
rnacentral:lncRNA from 1 species